GGUCGAGUUGUCUCUUCUCUUUCCAGGCUCGUACUGCUUUCUUUGAAUUUUUGCUCCGCUCCAGACCACGAGUUUCUUGAGAGGGUGAGCGGUGAGAAACGAUUUUGCUCGCCGUCGGCAGGAUUUGCUUGCUGCCGCACUCCGGUGAGUUCCCCGGCUCCCCCUCUGCGAUUAGUCCCGCGUUUCGGCUGCUGUUUUUUUGUUGUUUUUUCUCCUUGGCUCAGGGCAUGGCUAGGUGAAGGUUUCAUAGGCGUUUGAUUCGCGCUCGUCGGCGGUGGGGGUUCCUCUCUGUCCUUCUCCGGUGUGGCGAGUGGAAUACGACAGAGGCGACCGGGGUUAUUUCGUGCUGGUCGUCGGUGAGCUCUAAUCAGUUGUCAGGUGGAUGUGGCGUCUGCUCGUGGCCGUCAGUAGCCUCUGUCCAGACGAAAUGGCUAUUUCAGUAGGUUACUUCCUGAGGUUUUGUGGCAGAUUUGGGCGCACAUGAUAGUGUGUAUUUUCGGGGGAGAUUUUCCGGCUGGUGAGGUGUUUAAUUCGUGGCGGGUUUGUGUUGCGGGUUGCACUGCUGUUUGUGAUGUAGGGUUUUUGAACCCUUUCUGAAUCUGAAACCCCGGUUAGCAGUAGUAGCGAUUCAGACUAUGGGUAGUUCAGUUCGUGCAUUAUGACUUGAUGAUGUCAUUGUGGUUUUGUUUCUGAUAUGCCCACUGAAAAUAACUUAUUUAAGAACUAUAGCGAGACUUUAAUCCAAAUUUAUGGCCAUUUUCUGCUUUAUCUCUAAUAGGAAGCGUAUGGUUGCUGGUUUUA